GCCCCUGGCGGCGGCAGGCGGCGCUGCGGUUGGCCGGCGGCGCUGCCGCUCAGAGCGGGGUCGGGGGUCAGAGUGCGCGGAGUUUCAGAUGCCUCUGGAUGUUCAAUGAUAGCACUCCUCCAUACUGGAGCAGCAAAGUUUCCCCAAAACUUACUUCCAAGGGCAAGACAAGCUGUGUGCUCCCUCCUCCCAGCUGGUGUUCUCAAAGAGUACAGCUCCAUCGUAAGCAGGAAACUGGCGUCCCACGGCUUUGGAGCUUCCAUGGCAGCAAUGUCAUCCUUCCCUCCACAGAGAUAUCACUACUUCUUAGUGCUGGAUUUUGAGGCUACAUGUGAUAAACCACAGAUUCAUCCUCAGGAAAUCAUCGAAUUCCCUAUCCUGAAGCUGAAUGGCAGGACGAUGGAGAUCGAAUCCACCUUUCACAUGUAUGUUCAGCCUGUGGUGCAUCCCCAGCUUACGCCCUUCUGUACAGAGCUGACUGGGAUUAUUCAAGGCAUGGUGGAUGGGCAGCCAAGCCUCCAGCAAGUGCUUGAGAGGGUUGACGAGUGGAUGGCGAAGGAAGGCCUCUUAGAUCCCAGCGUCAAGUCGAUUUUUGUGACCUGUGGAGACUGGGAUUUGAAAGUGAUGUUACCAGGACAAUGCCAGUACUUAGGGCUGCCGGUUGCUGAUUACUUCAAACAGUGGAUUAAUCUGAAAAAGGUGUUCCUUGAAGUGGCCUUCACAGCUCUCCACCCUUUUAGCUGACGACUACGUCAGGGGAAGAUGGACUUGCACCUCCCCGCAGCUUCAUUGCAUAUGCACACGCCGUCUGCCCCGGCGGCACGAUUGCCUUGGUGAAGAAUCCAAGGGGCUGCUGAUAGCAAUCAUUGAUUAAGAGGGUAAUUGUCCUGAAAAUUCAGAUUGAUCAAAAGGCAGAAAUGAUAACUUGUGUAACUGUGUUUAAAACCACGUCCUGUCAAUAGGGGAGACUGAGACGUGGCGAGCAGAAAGCAGGGAGAAUUGGAUAUGCGAGCGGCUCCACAGGGAGGGGCCUUCAGCAACACGGAGACUGCCCCGAGGGAAGAGCACUGGGGACUUUGUGGAGUUCAACCUGAAGGGAAUGAUGCUGCUGCCUGGAAAGCCGUUGGGGGGACCACAGGAGAGCCUGCUGGGGCUUUGGGCUGGGCUCUCCUGGCUGAGGGCUGCUUUGGAGCCAGAAUUACCAAAACUGCCUCCAGUCUGAAUGAGGCAGAGCUCAGACUUGCAUGUUCUCCCCACAGGUGACUGCAGAGGAUUCCUGGCCAUGUCUCAGGUGGGAGUUCAUCCUCCCUUUGGCAGGGAGCUCCAAAUUUUCCCAGUGAGAAGGAAAUUUGGCUUUUGAUGAAGGAAACAUCUUAUUUCUAAUGGAAAAAUAUCUGGAAAGUUUCCAGCUCUCUCUGUCCCGAUCAGUUUGGGACUCUGGCUCCAGUUCCAGCAGUGAGUCUCUUUGACUCAGGUCCCCCUUGCAGACUGGGGGACAGCACGUGGCAGUAACUGUGUCCAUCUCUGUGGCAGUGCCCAUUGUGCCACGUGUGGUGGGGAGGACAGUUCAUCUGUCUGGCAGCCUCCUGUAGAUACAUUUGUGCCUGAACUCAGGAUGGGUUUGAGAGUGUAGAAACAGGAGUUCCAUGGCUGUGGCCCGGAGGUGCUCCAGGGCAGUAAGACCAGGUUCCCCAAAGCUUGUGUGACAAUGUCUGUCAAGGUGGAAAGCGAGACCAGUUCAAGAAGCACACAUCACCCAGCAGGACACACUGGGAGGUGGGUAAGGCAGCAGUGCCUACCUCCUUGGGUUUCUUACUAUGUGUGUGUUGGUCCUGGCAGUAUGACUUUGGGAGAAACGCUACCUGUCAAGCACAGUGCUCACAAUUGGGUUUCUGUUAGCUGGGCAGGGAGCAAGGGUGGUUUGGCAGCAGCUGGACCUCAGUGAGUAGCAGGAGAUGGGUGUUCAGGGUCUUCAGGCAGCUGGAGGGAAGGAAAGCCAGGGCAGGGGAGGGCUGCACCCGGGGACUGAAGCAGGGAAAAGAAGUUUCAUGGGUGGUUCUGUAUGUUUCUCCUUGAGCAGCUCCGUCAAAGGCAAGAGGAUGGUUCAAAAGGAGAUCUUAAAGCAUGCAGAGGAGCUGGCUGGUGCCAGCAGUGGCACAUAGGUGCUGUGCAGGGUAUGCAUGUGGGUAUGUCAUCAGCAGCUGAAGCAGCCUGGUCUCAGUCAGGGCUGUGCAGGGCAUCUUGUGCAGGUACAGCCAGCAAGAUCUGACCUGUCAUCCAUCCUGUCAUUUAAAGCACUUGCACUAUGCACAAGAGAGGCUUUACGUGAGCCAGGGGCAUCGCUGCUGUUAUUCUUAGCUGAGUUUGAAGAGCUCUUGCUGUCCUCAGCUUUAGGUAUAGGCUUUGUUGUGCUGGAUGGCCCAGGUGCAUGGAGCUUGCUAAGCGAAGAAAAGAUUGCAGCGGGUACAUGGAGCAGAGGAGAGUUGUUCUGGAGGAAAGGUGGGUUUCCAUGGUGGGGGGAUAGCUAGUGAAGUGAGUAAAUACAUGCUAUAAACACGUUCAGAGCAUCUCUGCGUGAAGAACCCAGCACAGCCUUUUUGAGUGAAUAGAAAGAGAGCCUGGGUUCAGUUCA